GGGGCUGUGACUUAGUGGUAGAGUGCUCACCUAGCAUGUGCGGGGUGCUGGGUUCAAUCCUCAGCACCACA
rnacentral:tRNA from 1 species